CGCCACAUGCCAUGUUAUCAGUUGCCAAAUAAAAUGACAUAAUUUUUAAAGUGCUUUUAUUUUUCAAGUAAAGGCUUGGAGCUUGUUUAUAUUAGGUCAUGACAUUGCCUUAUUUAAAACAUGUAUUUUUAAUUAUUUUUGUUAUUCCAAGAAAUAUUUUUAUUCCAACAAACGAUAUAUUGCAUUAUUUCUCUAUCCCUUUCAACUAAUUAAAUAAUUAAAGCCUAAAAAAACUGUCUAUAUUACUUGUAUUAAUGAUACUAAUCGUCAACCAUAUGUUUUGUAUUUGAAACUUACACCAUGCAUCAUGCUCUAAUAAGACACCGGAUUCAACAUUUCAAUGUUUUCAAAUUGACAUGUAAUAUAUAUACAUAAAUCCUGAUAUAAUGUUAUUUUGCAGUAUUCAAAAUUAUGAAAUCCUAAAAUAUAUGAUCAAAACUCAAUAAGCCCUAAUUCACAAAACCCUAAACCCGAAAUCUUUCCAAAAAUUUCCCCUCGUCUAUUGAAAAUAUACCAUCAAACUACAAUUUUGGAUAACUACUAAAUAAAAGCCGAUAUAUAUUUUUAAAAAUUUAUAUGCUUGAUACUCAAAUUUAUGAUUAUACCGAUAUAUUUAUUAACUAUUCAAAAUACUGUUUGGGUUAUCAUUAUAGUUGCAAAUCUUUUUCAAAUCAAUAAUAAACAAUAGAAACAAGAAAAUCAGAAGUUGUAAAUACUAAUCUCGAAUAUAGUAAAGCAGAAAACUAACCGCCAAUCA
rnacentral:lncRNA from 1 species